AGCGUCCGACGGGAAUCGAACCCGCAACAUUCAGCUUGGGAAGCUGACAUUCUACCUUUGAAUUACGGACGC
rnacentral:tRNA from 1 species